AGAGUUUGAUCCUGGCUCAGGAUGAACGCUAGCUACAGGCUUAACACAUGCAAGUCGAGGGGCAGCAUGGAAGAAGCUUGCUUCUUCUGAUGGCGACCGGCGCACGGGUGCGUAACGCGUAUCAAACCUGCCUCAUACUCGGGGAUAGCCUUGCGAAAGUAAGAUUAAUACCCGAUGUUGUUAUGUUUCCGCAUGGUGAUAUAACCAAAGAUUUAUCGGUAUGAGAUGGUGAUGCGUCCGAUUAGGUAGUAGGCGGGGUAACGGCCCACCUAGCCUUCGAUCGGUAGGGGUUCUGAGAGGAAGGUCCCCCACACUGGAACUGAGACACGGUCCAGACUCCUACGGGAGGCAGCAGUGAGGAAUAUUGGUCAAUGGACGCAAGUCUGAACCAGCCAAGUAGCGUGCAGGAUGACGGCCCUAUGGGUUGUAAACUGCUUUUAUGCGGGGAUAAAGUGAGGGACGUGUCCUUCAUUGCAGGUACCGCAUGAAUAAGGACCGGCUAAUUCCGUGCCAGCAGCCGCGGUAAUACGGAAGGUCCAGGCGUUAUCCGGAUUUAUUGGGUUUAAAGGGAGCGUAGGCGGAUUAUUAAGUCAGUGGUGAAAGACGGUGGCUCAACCAUCGUUAGCCAUUGAAACUGGUAGUCUUGAGUGCAGACAGGGAUGCUGGAACUCGUGGUGUAGCGGUGAAAUGCUUAGAUAUCACGAUGAACUCCGAUCGCGAAGGCAGGUGUCCGGGCUGCAACUGACGCUGAGGCUCGAAAGUGUGGGUAUCAAACAGGAUUAGAUACCCUGGUAGUCCACACAGUAAACGAUGUAUACUCGCGGUUUGCGAUACAAUGUAAGCCGCCAAGCGAAAGCAUUAAGUAUACCACCUGGGGAGUACGCCGGCAACGGUGAAACUCAAAGGAAUUGACGGGGGCCCG
rnacentral:rRNA from 1 species